rnacentral:rRNA from 1 species
UACGGAGGAUGCGAGCGUUAUCCGGAUUUAUUGGGUUUAAAGGGUGCGUAGGCGGAUCAAUAAGUCAGUGGUGAAAUUCUGCAGCUUAACUGUAGACUUGCCAUUGAUACUGUUGGUCUUGAGUAUGGUCAAGGUAGGCGGAAUGUGUAAUGUAGCGGUGAAAUGCUUAGAUAUUACACAGAACACCGAUUGCGAAGGCAGCUUGCUGGGCCAAUACUGACGCUGAUGCACGAAAGCGUGGGGAUCGAACAGGAUUAGAUACCCUGGUAGUCCACGCCGUAAACGAUGAUCACUCGCUGUUAGCGAUAUACAGUUAGCGGCUAAGCAAAAGCAUUAAGUGAUCCACCUGGGGAGUACGGCCGCAAGGCUGAA